AAAAUCCUGAUGUGUUCGUCGGAUUAUUGAGUUUUGACCGAACACCAAUAACUUCGGGAGCUUGGAGUUCCUAUAUGGUGUGCAGGCCGCUUUACUUAUUUAAAAAUAGCGGAAGCAUGAAGUAUAGGACAGGGCACCCACCUGCUAGGAGCGGGAUCAAAACUUCAUCGCUUACGACGGCACAAUUGGGAUUGUC
rnacentral:other from 1 species